UAACACGUGAGUAACCUGCCCUUAACUCUGGGAUAAGCCUGGGAAACUGGGUCUAAUACCGGAUAUGACUCCUCAUCGCAUGGUGGGGGGUGGAAAGCUUUAUUGUGGUUUUGGAUGGACUCGCGGCCUAUCAGCUUGUUGGUGAGGUAAUGGCUCACCAAGGCGACGACGGGUAGCCGGCCUGAGAGGGUGACCGGCCACACUGGGACUGAGACACGGCCCAGACUCCUACGGGAGGCAGCAGUGGGGAAUAUUGCACAAUGGGCGCAAGCCUGAUGCAGCGACGCCGCGUGAGGGAUGACGGCCUUCGGGUUGUAAACCUCUUUCAGUAGGGAAGAAGCGAAAGUGACGGUACCUGCAGAAGAAGCGCCGGCUAACUACGUGCCAGCAGCCGCGGUAAUACGUAGGGCGCAAGCGUUAUCCGGAAUUAUUGGGCGUAAAGAGCUCGUAGGCGGUUUGUCGCGUCUGCCGUGAAAGUCCGGGGCUCAACUCCGGAUCUGCGGUGGGUACGGGCAGACUAGAGUGAUGUAGGGGAGACUGGAAUUCCUGGUGUAGCGGUGAAAUGCGCAGAUAUCAGGAGGAACACCGAUGGCGAAGGCAGGUCUCUGGGCAUUAACUGACGCUGAGGAGCGAAAGCAUGGGGAGCGAACAGGAUUAGAUACCCUGGUAGUCCAUGCCGUAAACGUUGGGCACUAGGUGUGGGGGACAUUCCACGUUUUCCGCGCCGUAGCUAACGCAUUAAGUGCCCCGCCUGGGGAGUACGGCCGCAAGGCUAAAACUCAAAGGAAUUGACGGGGGCCCGCACAAGCGGCGGAGCAUGCGGAUUAAUUCGAUGCAACGCGAAGAACCUUACCAAGGCUUGACAUGGACCGGACCGGGCUGGAAACAGUCCUUCCCCUUUGGGGCCGGUUCACAGGUGGUGCAUGGUUGUCGUCAGCUCGUGUCGUGAGAUGUUGGGUUAAGUCCCGCAACGAGCGCAACCCUCGUUCCAUGUUGCCAGCGCGUAAUGGCGGGGACUCAUGGGAGACUGCCGGGGUCAACUCGGAGGAAGGUGGGGACGACGUCAAAUCAUCAUGCCCCUUAUGUCUUGGGCUUCACGCAUGCUACAAUGGCCGGUACAAAGGGUUGCGAUACUGUGAGGUGGAGCUAAUCCCAAAAAGCCGGUCUCAGUU
rnacentral:rRNA from 1 species